GAUCGCGUGGUGUAGGGGUUAUCACGCGUCCCUAACAAGGACGAGGCCGCCAGUUCGAGACUGGCCGUGAUCA
rnacentral:tRNA from 1 species